rnacentral:lncRNA from 12 species
GACAUUAGGUGGCCUCCAGGUCAGAACUGGUCUUCUGGUUGGGAUGCCAAGAGCUAUAAAUUUUGCUUUACAUACCCCCUGGCUUCAAGCCAGGCUGCCUCCCCGCCCCCAGAAUGAAAUCCAGGAGGGGAGGCAACCACACCUAGCCUGGGCUCCUUGAAGCUAUAAAGACAUGAUAACAUAGGAACACAGUUCGUGCCACACUGCAUGUGGGCAAGCAAAUGUUUAAUUUAAGACCCCAUCAUUUGCCCUAUAAAUACAGCCGUGAUGGGGAUGGUCAGUUGGAAGUCUCACCUGAGGGGAGGAUGGUCUCCUCACACUUCUCCAUCCAGACUCCAGUUUGGCUGACUCCACAGGGCUUCCCCAGCUAGUGAGAGGCUGGAUGUUGUAAGUGCCCGAUUUGAUGUAACUUUGGCUUAUUCUCCUUUACUGCUUACUAUUGCCCUCAUCUAUGCGUCGAUUUCCCUUUUCAUCUUUCUAUUAGAUUUUUAUAAUAUCAAUAAGGUGUUUCUUCCCCUUCAAAAACAAGAGUAGGACAAAUCCGUGAAUCUUUUCUUUACAGCAGGAGGGAAAGUCAGGGAAUGCUGCAUGAAGCUACUCCUGUCUGUGCCUUUCCAGGCUAUGUAUUCCAGAACCAUACUGUGGUAUGAAGUUGUGCUUUUUAACACCUGAAGUACAUUUUGGAAUAGUGAGCAGAAAAAUGAAAAGUUACCUGUUUAGAACAAGUACGAGGAAGAGCUUUUCUCUUCCUUCCAGCCCCGAGGACUCUGCACGUGUUAAAAGAGCAAGGACUGGAGAGCUAAGCCAUCCGUAAGUGUACAGUCUAAAGCUAAAUGAGCUAAGAGAAAAAUUGAAAAC